AAGGAGCACCACGAAAAGGGUUGAGACACUGGGUCUUACCCGAGCCGUGAGGAACCGGUUGCCUGUAGUGGGCACGGUUUGGUGCACAACAAACGUUGAGCCGCAAGGGAUUUUGCGGUGAUGGGACUGCCAGACACACUAUUGGGCUUUGAGACAACAGGCCCGUGCCCCUUUUUUGGGGGGUGGCAUCCGGUUGCGGGUGUCGGCGUGUUGUUGCCUCACUUUGGUGGUGGGGUGUGGUGUUUGAUUUGUGGAUAGUGGUUGCGAGCAUCUAGCACGCAGUGUGGCUGGGGGCCUUCGGGUUUCCGGUCUUGUUGUGUGUUGAUGUGCAAUUUCUUUUGAAACUCAUUUUUGGUUUUUGUG
rnacentral:misc_RNA from 1 species